CCCUUAGAUGUUCUGGGCCGCACGCGCGCUACACUGAUUCAUGCAACAAGUUUUGUCCUUGGCUGAUAGGCCUGGGUAAUCUUUGAACGUGAAUCGUGAUGGGGAUAGAUGAUUGCAAUUAUUCAUCUUCAACGAGGAAUUCCUAGUAAACGCAAGUCAUCAGCUUGCAUUGAUUACGUCCCCGCCCUUUGUACACACCGCCCGUCGCACCUACCGAUUGAAUGGUCCGGUGAAAUCUUCGGAUCUGAGAGAUGUCUGAUUAAUUUCGGACGCCUUUUGGAAAAGUUGUUUAAACCUUACCAUUUAGAGGAAGGUGAAGUCGUAACA
rnacentral:rRNA from 1 species